rnacentral:misc_RNA from 1 species
AAACUGCGAUAAGUAGUGUGAAUUGCAUUUAGUUAAUCAUCGAAUCUUUGAACGCACCUUGCACUCACUGGUAUUCCGGUGAGUACGCCUGUUUCAGUAUCAUUGAAAACACACAAUCAAAACAUUUUCUUUGGUUUGAUUGGCUUUGGGUCUAUCAAAAAGUUUGGCUUGUUUCUUACAAGCCAAGCGGCCUGAAAUAUAUUGUCUGGCUAAUUGCAUCGUUGAUGAUCGCUAUUAGACUUUGGCUUUUUUAAAUGAACUGGAGGUUGAUUAACCAGUUUUAGCUUUAGUCAAAUGGUCAUUGUAAAAAAAAUCUCGAUCUUGGCUAGGUGUUUAUAGCCGAAAAUUUUUUUUUGGCUAUAACCGAAACCAAUAUAAUCACAUUUAGUUAUCGAUCUGAAAUCAGGUGGGACUACCCGCUGAACUUAAGC